GGGGGUGUACUGGUUUCGACGGGGGCAUCAGAUAUUAGAGGAGCCAUCCGCAGCUUUCUGGGACUGCGUCAACAACCUGGUAAAUAAAUUAAACGCAGACGAAAAUAAUUUCGCAUUAGCUGCUUAAUGCAGCUUGUUAACUCUCAGUAACCCGCGGCUGUGGGUUAACAUCAAAUGAAGCGGGGAACUUCUCUUACAAAGCUUUGAGUAGGAAGAAGAAUUAUGAAGCUACUAACCUACAAAGCCUGUCGUUAGGCGUUGUAGUGAGGGAAUGUUAAAAUAGCGACUGUGAUGGGAGAUACUGUAAUAAAUGGGUCUUCGGACAGGGGUUCGAUUCCCCUCACCUCCAUAA
rnacentral:tmRNA from 1 species